AUUGAACGCUGGCGGCAGGCCUAACACAUGCAAGUCGAGCGAGCGGCGGACGGGUGAGUAAUGUCUGGGAAACUGCCUGAUGGAGGGGGAUAACUACUGGAAACGGUAGCUAAUACCGCAUACCAUCAGAUGUGCCCAUAGGGGAUUAGCUAGUAGGUGGGGUAACGGCGCACCUAGGCGACGAUCCCUAGCUGGUCUGAGAGGAUGACCAGGAACACUGGAACUGAGACAAUGUCCAGACUACUACGGGAGGCAGCAGUGGGGAAUAUUGAAUGAUGGGCGCAAGCCUGAUGCAGCCAUGCCGAGGGUGUGAAGAAGGCCUUCGGGUUGGAAAGAACUUUCAGCGGGGAGGCGUUACCCGCAGACGAAGCACCGGCUAACUCCGUGCCAGCAGCCGCGGUAAUAC
rnacentral:rRNA from 1 species